rnacentral:misc_RNA from 1 species
GGAACAGUGGGGCAAGAGGCUGCGAUUGACUUACUGAAGAGUGAGAUUCCGGCGGAGGAAGAUGAACCGCUGCUUCUCACCGGCGAUGUUAACACCGGUCUCGUACUCGUCGACAUCGUUAAUGGCUUCUGCACCGUCGGAGCUGGCAAUUUGGCUCCGGUGACACCAAAUAGACAAAUUUCAGCAAUGGUUGAUGAGUCAGUUAAACUUGCAAAAGUGUUCUGUGAGAAGAAAUGGCCUAUUUAUGCACUUCGUGAUUCGCAUCAUCCUGAUGUGCCUGAGCCACCUAAUCCUCCUCAUUGUAUCGCUGGAACAGAUGAAUCUGAGUUGGUUCCUGCACUGCAGUGGUUGGAGAAUGAACCUAAUGUGACAGUGCGAUGCAAGGAUUGUAUUGAUGGUUUCCUUGGCUCGAUUGAGAAAGAUGGAUCUAAUGUCUUUGUAAAUUGGGUGAAAGCUAAUGAGAUUAAAAUUAUAUUGGUUGUAGGGAUAUGCACGGACAUAUGCGUGCUUGAUUUUGUGUGUUCUGUCUUAUCUGCACGAAACCGUGGAUUUCUCUCCCCACUGAAAGACGUGAUUGUAUAUUCCCCUGGCUGCGCUACCUAUGAUCUUCCAGUCCAGAUUGCCAGAAAUAUAAAAGGAGCUUUACCUCAUCCACAGGAAUUCAUGCAUCACAUAGGCCUUUACAUGGCCAAAGGAAGAGGAGCAAAAGUAGUUUCACAUAUCUCAUUUGACACGACAACCAACGAGACAUAACUUUGAACAAUGAGAUUAAGAUCCAUAUUUCUCAUUCGAAACUCUGAAGGACACUGCUACAGCUAUUGCAGACACUGCUUAGUAUAUAUUAAGUUAUAGUAGUAAGAUAAAUAUGCCCAUAUGCAUCUUCUCUUGUUCAGUUGGCUGUGCAGCUAACUUCUCUUGUUCCAAAACUACUAAUACUUCUACCAUAUUGUAAUAAACUAUCACGUUUUGGAUGCCAA